GAUGAACGCUGGCGGCGUGCCUAAUACAUGCAAGUCGAGCGAACGGACGAGAAGCUUGCUUCUCUGAUGUUAUCGGCGGACGGGUGAGUAACACGUGGAUAACCUACCUAUAAGACUGGGAUAACUUCGGGAAACCGGAGCUAAUACCGGAUAAUAUUUUGAACCGCAUGGUUCAAAAGUUAAAGACGGUCUUGCUGUCACUUAUAGAUGGAUCCGCGCUGCAUUAGUUAGUUGUUAAGGUAACGGCUUACCAAGGCAACGAUGCAUAGCCGACCUGAGAGGGUGAUCGGCUAGACGGGAACUGAGAAACGGUCCAGACACCUACGGGAGGCAGCAGUAGGGAAUCUUACGCAAGGGGCGAGAGCCUGACGGAGCAACGCCGCGUGAGUGAUGAAGGUCUUCGGAUCGGAAAACUCUGUUAUUAGGGAAGAACAUAUGUGUAAGUAACUGUGCACAUCUUGACGGUACCUAAUCAGAAAGCCACGGCUAACUACGUG
rnacentral:rRNA from 1 species